UACAGAGGUCUCAAGCGUUGUUCGGAUUCAUUGGGCGUAAAGGGUGCGUAGGCGGCGAGGUAAGUCGGAUGUGAAAUCCCGGGGCUCAACCCCGGAACUGCAUUCGAUACUGCUUUGCUUGAGGACUGGAGAGGAGACUGGAAUUUACGGUGUAGCGGUGAAAUGCGUAGAUAUCGUAAGGAAGACCAGUGGCGAAGGCGGGACUCUGGG
rnacentral:rRNA from 1 species